rnacentral:lncRNA from 1 species
CCUAUCAUAGCUAACCACCCGACUCGGUUUCGAGUCAAUCAAUCGCGGAUAGUCCGUGCACUAUCUAGCUCGAGGUGAAGGAACUCUCACAUGCACCUCAGCUGGCAACAGCUCACCGUACUCCUGUCCUAGCCGUCUGGCGGCGAACGAAUCGCACCUCACCCAACAACGGCCUAGGUCCAUGACUUAGCCACCCGGCGGCGAAAUCGUCGCACAAAUGUCACGACAGUGGUUCAAUCAACAAGCGGUAGGAUCCACAAACUGGCUAACCAUCCGGCGGCGAAAUCGUCGCACACGCCACGACAAUGGUUCUUUAGCCCUUGGGCGGCGAAAUCGUCGCACACACCCGACACCACUUUGGGUGUAUCUUUUUAGCCUUGGGAUUCCGGAAUCCAUUUCACAUCACAUUGGGGUUGGUCUUAACCCUAUGGAAUUGACCUCUCUAGGUCUAAGCUUUUACUCAACCUAAGCUCACCCCUUAGGUUUAUUGCUUUCACAUUCUUAACCUAAGUUUAUUACACUAGGAUCAUUAUUCUUUCCAACCUAAGUUCACUUGACUCUAGGUUAAGUACCUUUCAUUUCACGACCUAUGUUUAUUAACACUAUGUUAGAUGCCACUCGAUCUAAUUCACAUACUAAUUGUCCAAUCAAGCAUUCUACUCAUUCUAGAGUUAUCAAUUCUCAUUUUUCAAUGUUAUCUCUCUAAUCAAGCUAGAGUUAUCAACCAAGUUCAUAUGCAUAUAUAAUCUCACUUUAACUUAAUGUCAUCAACAUGCAUUUCAUUCUAUGCAUUAUGCUUACAUGCAUUCACAUAAUUAUCUACCAUUAUUCAACUUGCUCAUAAUGCAUUCUAUUUAGCAUUUACAUCAUACUAUCAAUAUGCAUUAUUUAGCUACAUGCAUCAUUUACGUGCUUCAUUUACAUUUAUAUGCAUCAACAUGGAUUCUUAGUUUCUUAGACAUAAAGGGCGACCUAGUCGCUUCGGUAAGCACAACCCACCUUAAUUUGCGUUCCGAUUGCUUGUUGACACUUGCAAUCGGCCUCCCGCGGCACCCUUAUCCGGCACGGCCCGAUACUGCAACUGCGCCUCAACCGUGCUCCGCUUCGCAGCCCCGAAAAUUAUAGGUCUUCGGUUAUAUGCCACGAUGCCUCAAAUCCAUUUCCAUGAUUUUACGACGUCGCCUCGGCCCUCCAGGCGGAAACGAAACCUAAACGUCUGUUUCUUUAAUAACUUCGCGUAGGCUCGACGAAUCGCCGAACCGACUUCGCCAACGCGUUCGUUUACCUAGCAAUUAGGUUUAUACAUGAUCAAUUUAGAUCAAAACCCCUCACAAGUAAAAACCCCUCUUUUGAUGCCCUAAGAUGCAACUAUGCAAGAAUUCAUCAUUUUAUCUCAAAAUUCGAGCAUCAACCAUCUAUUUAGCAUCUAGGAGUUUCACUAAACCCAUUUCUAAGGCAUACAAAUCGUUACUUAGCAAUCUACCAUUAUUACUAACAAAGCUUACCUCUCAAACCCAUGCUCUCUUCAAGCCAAUGGUGAAGAAAAGGAAAGCUUUACCUUUAAGUAAGCUUUUCUCUACCAACUCCACACUUUGGAGCCAAUCCUAAAGAGAGAGAGAGAGAGGUUUCUCUUAUGUUGGCUCAAAUGGAGAGGAAUGAGGGAAAUGACAUAACACCCUUAUAUAUAUAUAGGAGGAAACUUCACCUCCAAGUAAACUCCCCCAAAACACUAUUCACUCCAGGCAGUUCGAAAUCUGAUAUCUUUCGCCGGAACUCCCUGAACAUCCGUUUGAGCUCAAAUUUGACAGUCAUGUUCGGUCUCACUUAACGAGUCCAAAGAAAUUUUAAUAUUUCAGUUUCGACCCCGUUUGGUCACCGAAAGCUGUACCGAACUAUAAUCUUUAUCAGAUAGCUUUCGGAUUCUAGUUUUCACCUUCCGGGUGUCAGAAUGGCAUGGAACUUUAAAUCUAGCAUCAUAAAAAUAUUUAUGACAUCUUCGCUAAUUUUCAUAAUUUUCUGACACUGUGCAUUUUCUGCUAAUUUAUCUGCCCUGUUUCUUACAGAAAAUUCUAAAUCUUCUGUUGUCGCUCCGAUUUCAGCACAGGUCAUUCCCAACUUAUAUUUCACUUCUCUAAAUCCAAUAAAAAUAGUAUCUCAUACUAUUUUUAUUUAUUUUCACUUUUAUAUUUAAAAUCCGGUAUGUUACAUUCCGCCGCAACCUCACCGGAGCCAUUUAAAUGUACACGGUAACUUCAUAGUUUUAGAAGUCCGGUACCUUACACUAUGAGAAUGUAAUAACCCUAUAUGUGCAUGUAAAAAGAGAUAUUAGUUUAGUGAAGUUAAAGAACAAGUGACAUAUGACACGAGGAAAAUGAAAUGUGAGAAUGCAAGCUAAAGAUCGCAUAAAGAUUGAUGUAAAGAACACUAGAGCUAGUGUGUGGCAUCAAAGAGAACAAAUGUGAUAUAAAGAAUGAUAAAACUAGAGUUAGCAAUGUGUGGCAUUAAAGAAUGACAAUUACUAGAGUUAGCAACAAAAUGUGGCAUAAAGAACAAUGGCUAGAGAUAGCAUUAAAUAUGGGGCAUAAAAGAAUGCUAGAGCUAAUGCAUGACAUAAACGAUAGUAAAGAAUGUAAAGAACACUAGACUUAGUGUAAUGACAUGGUCGAAGAUAAAGAAUGCAAAGAACAUGAGAUUGACACAAUGACAUUCAACCUUAGAGCUAAGGGUCAUUUGUGCAUAAUUCCUUAGAGUUAAGGAACAGAUUGAACUGAACAUCCUUAGAGUUAAGGAUUGAUCAUACUCGCUAUAAGUCCUUGCUCGAGGGCGGUAGCUCCCCCUCGGGCGAUAAGCUUCGGAGUUUGUCAUCACUGGAUUGGUGCUGUUCCCCAGAGAACGGUCCUAGCGGGAGGAAGCUAAGGGCCCGCGAUCAUAGAUUCUGAGUUCGUGAGUUAAUGAGGCGAUACCCCGGGGUUAGCCUUGGGAUUGAACAAAGAAUAAAGAACAAAGAAUAUAGACCAUGCAUUCUUCAUGAGUUAUAUUGAGCAUCAUUUUUUAUCGCAUUGUUCAGGCAUAUUAGUUGCUUAAAUUUAACUAUUUAAAUUUUCAGCAAAUGAAACUGUACAUUCAGUUUCCAAAUAAUAGCUAAUUACCAACAAAGCUACUAAAAUUAGCAAUAAUCCCAUUUUAAAUGAGUAGAAUGAAGUAAUUUGAUAUUGAUAGAUUACUAACUGUUGAUGCCAAAAUUAAAAUUAGGCAGGAACGGUUGAGAAGUGGGAUGUAACUUCCACGAUCAUGGCUACACCACUCCCCCCACUACUAAAAACUGACCAAUAAUGUGGGCUGAGAAGACAUCACUAUAAAUAGUAAUUUUGAAGCCUGCAAUAGAGGUCUUUUCCCCGUGAACAGAAGACCACCUUUAUUUCCUCUACAAUUUCUUCGCAUUUUCUAGGAGUAGUCUACUUGUAAUCUUUUACUUUCUCGCACUUACCGUUUUACCUAGGAGUAGAGUUAAGUUAGAUCAACCGAGUCUGUAUGUCCUCAGGCACACUCGACCUUUGUACUGUUCUUGCAAGCUAAUUCUAAUAUAUCAAGGCAUUCGGCUCAUCAGCCGACCUGAAAUCCUUUGUUUUCUAUACAUUUGGCUCAUCCAGCCAGCCGAACCUAUUCUGUAAUAGAAGAUUCCCAACUCGGCUGAUCCGAUCCUUCAUCAGCCGAAUCACUUGAUCCAGUCGAAGGGCACAAACUUCGAGGGUCACUAAUCGUAGCCGUUUCGCAUCUCGACGCGCUUUUCGAGGAAGAUCUUUGACCGGGCCAAAGAAGAGGGAAUUCGGCACCUAAUAAUUUUGGCAUGCCCAGUGGGACACACUUAGGUUUUCCCAAUCUAGAUUUUGUCCUAUGGCUGACGAUAAUGCUAUGAACCUCCGGAAUAGAGUCAUUCCCAGGCCUUCAAGGAAUAACCAAGCUAGUAGCGCCGAAAAUGCGAAUGAGAAUCAGGCGGUACUACCUAUUGGAGGAGAGAUUAGUGAAUAGUCGGCUCAUCAAGAGUCGAGUCUAACUCAGGUACUCAACCAGAUGACCCGAGUCCUGCAAACUGUAGAUCAAAAUAUCCAUCAAAGUACCGCUCAACUAGACACGGUGCUGGCUGCUAUCACGGCCUACAAUAAAAAUAUUGUUCGAAUCAGACAGUUAUUUACCCAAAACGAGCAACCUUACGGGGGCAACAGGGCCCCUAAAUGUGUUGGUGCAACAAAAUCCCGUCACGUCGGUGGUCUCAUAGGCACAACCGCAAAUAGCACCUUUCCAGGCUUCUUAUAGGCCGGCGAAUAUAAACGCCAGCCCACAGUCGAAGAUUGCAUCGGGUUUACCUCCUUUACCAGCUUACCAGCCCCAAAACGUGGGCGUAAGGGCUGGAGGCCAAGGCUCCAACAGGUUGUAGGAACUAAACUCUGUAAUGCAAAAUUACGGACCGCCUUCAGGGCCGAAUGUGGUUCCGGCCCCGGUUUCUGCUUCGGCAGCAAGAAAUAAUGAGUUAUACGCUCAAAUAGGAGAGGUGAUUCGAAACACAUUUGAUAUAGGGGCGAGGUCGGCAGUGCGGCUUGUAUUUAGAUCCCCAUAUCUCGUGAACAUCGACGCAGAGAAUCUGUAUUCGGCAAACUGAAAAAUGCCGAAGUUCAACAAGUUCUCGAGCGAUGAGACCGAGAAUACGGUUGAGCAUGUAGCCCGGUUCACAGCCCAAUGUAGAGAAGCGAGCGCUGACACAUUUUUGAAACUUUGAUUAUUUAACACGUCGUUAACUAAAACGGCGUUUACUUGAUAUGCAAGUUUACAAGCCAAUUUCGUCCGAGAUUGGGAUGAAUUGGAAAGAAAAUUUUAUGAGCAAUUAUAUAGGUCGGAGCCACAAUUAUCAGUUGCCGACUUGGCUUUAUACCGACAAAAGUCAGGUGAAACGGUCGAAGAGUGUAACGCCCCAAAAUUUGACUAUAAAUAUUUAAAAAGAUUCCAAAAUGAUUUUGAGGGUUAUAGCCAGUUUUAUAUGAUUUGAACUCAAUUGAGUCUAAUCUGUCAUUGCACCAACAACCACUUUGGGAAAACUUUUAACCAUGUUAUCGACAUCCGAUUCAGGCGAAAUUGGUCUCGUUGGAAAGAUCAUCGAGUCAUCUUUCUAACGCAACCUGAACCAUGUCUGCCGCGAACGAACCGGCGCCGCCGUAGGUAUUUUUAAGGCAAGUGGUCAUUCAUGGUAGAGAUCAAAUUUGUUUAAAUUUUAUUUUAAAAUUAGGAUUAUAGGUUCAUGGCUUCCAACAGACUCAAGAAUCUGUUAUUAAUUACCCCACACUUUCAGUGUUAGGGAACCCUCGAUUAAGAGACUGAAUAUAAAUGCUGAUAAUAAAAGAGACCGAACAGACAAAUAAGAUUUUAUUAAUAUGAUUUGUCGUGUACAUGGCUUAAGCAAGGGCAUUCCCCCACUUUACAUAGAUUUCAUAAAAUUAAAUACUCAGUUUAUAGACUUGAUGGUCAUGUCUGAACUUGAUUUGCCCGGUUUAGCGACUUGGCGGUCGAUUGAAGUUGAGAUGCUCAGUUUAGCGGCAUGGCGGUCGAUUUUAAAUUGAGUUGCUCAGUUUAAUGAUAUGGCGGUCGGUUUGAAUUUUGAUGAUCAGUUUAAUGACAUGGCGGUCGGUUGAAGUUGAGAUGCUCAAUUUAGUGACAUGGCGGUUGAUUUGAAUUAUAGUGCUCAGUUUAAUGAUAUGGCGGUCGAAUAUUCAGUUUAAUGACUUAAUAGUCAUUCGUUCAGUUUAACGACUUGACGGUCACAUCUGAACAUGAUUUGCUCGGUUUAGCGACUUGGCGGUCGAUUGAAAUUGAAGUGCUCAGUUUAGCGACAUAGCGGUCGAUUUUAGAUUGAGUUGCUCAGUUUAAUGAUAUGGCGGUUGGCUUGAGUUUUGAUGCUCAGUUUAAUGACAUGGCGGUCGAUUUAAGUUUUGGUGCUCAGUUUAAUGACAUGAUUGUCGAGGGGGUUUGAUUUGAUUGUUCAGUUUAACGACUUGGCGGUCAAAAGUUCAGUUUGAAUGACUUAAUAGUCACUUGUUCAGUUUAACGACUUGACGGUCAUAUAUGAACUUAAUUUGCUCUGUUUAGCGACUUAGCGGUCGAUUUUAAAUUGAAUUGCUCAGUUUAGAGACAUGGCAGUCGAUUGAAGUUGAGGUGCUCAGUUUAGCGACAUGGCGGUCGAUUGUUCAGUUUAACGACUUGAUAGUCAUUUGUUCAGUUUAACGACUUGACGGUCGUUUCUGAACUUGACUUGCUCAGUUUAGUGACUUGGCGGUCGAAAGGGUUUGGUUUGAUUGCUCAGUUUAACGACUUGGCGGUCGAAAGGGUUUGGUUUGAUUGCUCAGUUUAACAACUUGGCGGUCAAAAGUUAAGUUUGAAUGACUUAAUAGUCACUUGUUCAGUUUAACGACUUGACGGUCAUAUCUGAACUUGAUUUGCUCAAUUUAGCAACUUAGCGGUCGAUUUUAAAUUGAAUUGCUCAGUUUAGCGACAUGGCGGUCGAUUGUUCAGUUUAACGACUUGAUGGUCAUUUGUUUAGUUUAACGACUUGACGAUCGUUUUUGAACUUGAUUUGCUCAGUUUAGCGACUUAGCGGUCGAAAGGGUUUGGUUUGAUUGCUCAGUUUACGACUUAGCAGUCAACUUGAGAUGCUCAUGAAACUGAUUCGUGAAAUUAAUUCAUGCUAAGAGCCCGUUUGUAAAGUCCAUUAAAUUAAUUGAUGAAAUUAAUUCAUGAUAGGGGACCAAUUGGAGAGCCCAUUGAAUUGGGUUUUAUAAAAUUAAUUUAUGAUAAGGAGUCAUUUGGAAGGCUUAUUAGUUCAUGAAAUUAAUCUAUGACAAGGAGGGCCUAUGAAAUUAAUUCAUCGAAUUAAUUCGUGAUAGGGGGCCUAUUUGGCAAACCCAUAAAAUUAAUUUGUAGAAUUAAUUCAUGAUAAGGGAUUCAAUUGGAAAGCCCAAGGAAUUAAUUCGUAGAAUUAAUUUAUGAUAAGGGGCCCAUUUGGAAAGUCUGUAAAAUUAAUUCAUGAUAAGGGGGCCUAUUUUGCAAACCCAUGAAAUUAAUUCGUAAAAUUAAUUUAUGAUAAGGGGUCAUUUAGAAAGCCCAGAAAAUUAAUUCAUAGAAUUAAUUCAUAAUAAAUGGCCCAUUUGGAAAGCCCAUAAAUUCGGUUUGGGUUGGAGGUAUUUGGAUGAUAUAGGUUUGGUAGAUUUGGUUGGAUUUUAUUUGUGAACUUUGGAUUUGGAUCUUUAUUUGUGGACUUUCGGUUUUGGAUCUUUAUUUGUAGACUUUGGGUUUUGGAUCUUUAUUGGUGGACUUUGUGGACUUUGGGUUUUGGGUCUUGUUUAUAGGUUUGGGGUUUUGGGUUGAGGAAUUUAUUCAUAUGGUUUUUUUUUUUUUUUUUUUUUUUUUUUUUUUUUUUUGUCUUGGUUUUGGAUCUAAAUCUGCAUAUGGGUUGAGGUUGGUUUCGGGCUGUACAUGUUCUGGGCCUUGGACCCGAAUCUGCAUGUGGACUUGGAUUGGUUUUGGACUUUAUAUAUUCUGGGCCUUGGACCCGAAUCAGCAUAUGGACUGAAAUUGGUCUUGGACUUUACAUGUUCUGGGCCUUGGACCCGAAUCAGCAUGUGGACUAAAAUUGGUCUUGGACUUUACAUGUUCUCGGCCUUGGACCCGAAUCAGUGUGUGGACUAAAAUUGGUCUUGGACUUUACAUGUUCUGGGCCUUGGACCCGAAUCAGCAUGUAGACUAAAAUUGGUCUUGGACUUUACAUGUUCUGGGCCUUGGACCCGAAUUAGUGUGUGGACUGAAAUUGGUCUUAGACUUUACAUGUUCUGGGCCUUGGACUCGAAUCUGCAUGUGGGCUUUAUUAUUUCUUUUUUUUAACUGUUUAUGGAAUUUAUUCAUUGAGCCCACAAGUAAAUGAUGGAUUGAACCAUUUUCAAAUUAAAUAACUCAAAUUCAUUUCAUCAAAUUUUCUUGUUCCAUUUUUUUUGUUCUUCUUCUUUUUUUUUUUUUGACUAAGAGAAGGAACAACUCUUCUUUUUUUUUUCUGUUUUUUUUUUUUUUUUUUUUUUUUUCUUUUUUUUUUCUUUCUCUUUCUUCUUUUUGGUUCUUUUUUUCUUUUUUUCUUUUUUUCUUUUGUUGACUGCCAGAGGGAAUCUCUCUCUCUCUCUCUCUCUCUCUCUCUCUCUCUCUCUAUACGAAACCGAGAGAAGGGGUGCCCUCCUUUUCUUUCUUUUCUUUUUUUUUUUUGCUGUUUUUUUUUUGUGCUUAUUCAUUUUUUUUUGUCCGAAGUACGAAAUUUUGUCUCUCUUUUUUUAAAAAAAUAUACGAAAUUGAUCACAUUGAGAAAUACGAUCAAAUCGAAUGAAGAUGGCGAAUCCAAAGAGAACCCUUCCAUUUUUUUAUUAUCAUUUUUUUUUUGUCGUUCAAGUACGCAGGAUUUAAUCGUGUCGAGCCUAUCAUGAAGUUGGCCACUCGAUUAAUUCUUUCGACCAUGUCGAGCUUAUCGCGAAGAUGGCCACACGGUUUACGUAGCGAAAUAAACGGUGCUCGAUCACCCAUUUUGACCAUGUCGAGCCUAUCGCGAAGAUGGCCGGACGGUUUACAUAGCAAAAUAAACAGUGCUCGAUCACCCAUUUUGACCUUGUCGAGCCUAUCGUGAAGAUGGCUGCACGUUUUACGUAGUAAAAUAUCCGGUUCGAUCAAUCAUUUUGACCAUGUCGAGCCUAUCACGAAAAUGGCCGCACGGUUUAGAGAUUAGCGAUGCAUACGCGUGACGGAAGCAACAAUUUAAUGUCAAAUUUGAUCGGUUCGAUAUCACGAAGAUGGUCGGGUUGAUCAGAUUGACAAAAAAAGCACUUACGCUAUGCGUAUGCAUGCAUAUCUCCUAUUGUUGUAGAAGUCGUCGUAAUUGUUGUUGUCGAAGUUGUAGCCGAGUUCAAGAGCAAAAUUCCUUCUUUUUUUCCUUUUUUUUUUGUUGCCGUGUACGGACAGAGGAGGGGGUGCACAUGGUGCCCCCUCUGCCAGCAAGCCCAAGGCUACACAAGGGGGAGAGAGAGAGAGAUAGAGAGGAGAGUAUAUAAAAAAAAAAUUUCGCCUUUUUCUUUCUUUUUCUUCUUCUUUCUGUUCUUCUUUUUUUUCUUUUUUUUUUCUUUUUCUUCUUUUUCGGUUCUCCCCUUUCUUCCUUCCUCUAAAAAAAAAUUCUCUCUAGAUCCCUUUUUCGAAAUUUGGACCUUAUUUUAUAUAGGAUUCAAAGAUGAUUCCCAUUUGGGAAUAAUUUUAAAAAAAUCAGCUUAUUGAGGAAACAAAUCUCAAUCAACUAAUUAUACCUCUUUUGUUUUAUUUUGAAUACUUUCCUUCUUUUUCUUUUGAAUCUUUCCUUUUCCUAUUUCCUUCCUUCUAUAUUUUCAAUUUGAAUUUUGAACUUUUUUUUCUCAAACAAACCACCUUAAACGGAUAUCGGACGAAAGAGUUAUUGCAAUUUUUCUAAUAGCCGUUGAUACAAUCCUGAGCUGCGAGCUAGUUCGAAAUUUCACCAAUUGUUAUGGGCAGUUUGGUAAAAUUACUAAUUAAAAAUAUAACUUAUCAAUUUAGUUGGUUAACUAUUGGUCCAACCAUAAUUUUUUCCAAGAAAAUAUUGAGUAAAAUUACAUAAACGCCCUUAAGUGGGCUGGUUUGAAUGGGAGAAGAGAAAACUCUUCUAUUCCCAUUCCCUUCUUCUUUUUCCCAUUUCCCCUUUCUCUCAAUACCCUAUUUCCCCUCUCUUCUACUUAGUAAUGAGAUGAAGGAUUUUUCCUUCAAAUUGAAGGGAUUUAGGAGCAGAACCUUUGGAGAAGGAAACCCAUUUUCAAGUUGAAACUCUAGCUAGAGAACAAAGUAAGUAAAUUUUCGGUUUUGUGCUUUGUGAGUAUCAAAGAAUGAAUAUUUUGAGUUGCAUGCAUGUUUUUCUAUUCUCUUUGAAGGUCCCAAGCUAUCCUUUAUGGAUUGGUUAUAGUUUUUGAAGAUUUUAUGACACUAUAUUCAAAUAUUGAUGCCCUAAAUUGGGGGUUUUUGCCCUAUUAUGAAAUUUUCUUGUGAUUUUAGGGUUGGGACCCUAAGAGCCCAAAAUGAGAUUUUUGAUAAUUAACUUUUAGUUCUUUCUACUUGAAUUUAGGGGCCAAUACAUAGUUAUAUGAAUUGCUUUUACUUUUAAGAGGUUUUGAUGAGUUAGUUGCAUGUUAUGAGGUUCCAAAAAUUAGGAUUUUGAUCAACUACAAGAUUAACCUUUUGUAGUUGAUUUUAAGAGUUUAGAAUCCUUAAAUUGAAGUGUCUAUCAUGUUCAAAUAUAUUGGGCAUGAAUGUACGAUUGAGCUAAGUUGUUUAAUCAAAUUUAAAUUUAGUUUGUUAAUAUUUCGAUCAAUUUAUGCUAUUCUCGGGUUGGACUAUUCCGGUUAGUUUUCGGAAGGUAUAAACAUCUUGUUAAGGUGUCGUUUGUUAAAAUUAAGUACCCCAAACCCUUUUAUAGAGUUUGAAUGAGUUAUUUUAAGGUUUUUAUCUAUUUUUAAAGAGUUAUGAGCUCCCAAAAUAGGGACUUUUGUUCUAACCCGAGAAUAGAGUAUAAUAGUCGAAGUGAUGGACUUAAAUAAGUCUAAAUCAUUUAAGAUUACGAAAAAUAAAAGAUUAAUGGAGAUACUCAUUAUUUGUAUGUUAGGUACUUCGGGCGUGCAUGCCGGAGCUCCUACGGCCGAACCUUCCACAUCUUAGAUCAGUCUUUUCUUAUUUUGAGGUGGAAUCCUUAUCUAUAAAUGAUGAACCUUAGUGGUCCUCUUAGUAUCAUACAUGCAUAUAUAUAUAUUGCUAUCGAAUGUUCGUAAUUCUUGUUGCGUGUUUAAUUAUUGUUCUAAGAACUUAUGCCAUCGUUGUUUAUUCUUUGGUUCACAAUGCAAUGGAAGUUGAUCUUAUACUCUAGCAUAUCUCUUAUUAUCAUAUUGUACUAGUAGAGGGUAUGCAUUUGUAUUGGAAGGUAGCAUAAUCUUGAUUAUUUGUUAAUUCCAAAAUAUAACAUGAUUGUUGGGACAUUGACCCUAUUUGGAUUCGCCGCUAUGCUUAUGGUACUCCCCGGGCCAUCUUGGAUGGCUCCUUGUGAUGUGGGAGUUUGAGUGAGAGAAGGCAUGAGUGGGUUAUCGGUGGUGGUCGCUCCCCACGCGGUAAGCCCUUUGCUCCCCGGGUUGAGAUUUGGAUUACGCAUUUACUCGAUUGUAGGUCGAGUUGGAUUUUUGUUGGGUCUUUUCUAGUUGAUUAUGCUUAUCCUAUGAUUUUACCAUUUACUUAUUGAGUAUAGUUGCUAUCGUUGAUCAUAAUGGUAGAUUCAUAUGUAUGUUUAUUAAUCAUUCAUAAUCAUUGUUUAUCUUUCCGUUGAUCACCUACUAUUAGGUUAGUGGGAAUUAUUGUCUCUAGAUGAGCUUCCACUGGGAACUAUUGUUAAUAGUUCUCAUUAUGUGGAUAUUACUAAUUUUUCAGGUAUGACCUUUGAGAUGAGAUCGGGCGAGACGACGACUAUAGUUAGAUAGUAGCAUGUUGAUCGUCUCCAUUUUUGUAUUAUGUAGAUCUUAUUUUUGUAUUUUGGACAAUCAUUUUGGAUAUGUAUUAGGUCAUAUUGGGACUAUGAAUUGUACAAACUUGCUACUUGUUAAGUUCAGGGCAUAACCAUUUAGAAGUUUUAUGUAUGCUUAAAUGGAAUGGUAUUUUGGAUAACCAAUCGUUACGUUGGUAACUUUGGGAUGCUUAAAAUUUGUGAAUUGUUUAUUUAAAUUUAUCAUAUUGUAGGGAUGUUGAUAUUAACGCCGGACAUACUUAAGAUUUCAAUCUUAAGUUAUGUGGUGGGUCUGUAGCUGUUUUACCUCUGUGGUGCUCACCGCUACCGGGGUGCUGCAAAGAGUAUUUGAACCGUUUCAAAAUAGCCAAAAUCCGGUGCUUUAUGAGAAUGCCAAAAUCAGAGUUCGCCAAAAUGGCGUUAAAUUGUUUGCAUUUUAAGAUAAAAAGACUAUUUUGAAGAUAAGUAUUUUUCUAACUUAUUUGAUCUAGGUGUUCAAGUUGCCCAAUAUGAGCAAUUUCGGAAGAAAAGUGAGGACGAUCGGCUGCAAUGGAGCCGAUAUAAAAAUCAAAACAAAGGCAAGGAGAAAUCCUUAAUAGAAGAACAGUCAGUUGAAAAAGAGCCGAGCCAAUCGAGUGAAAGUGAAGAAUCGGCUGAUGAAGCCGAGGUAUAUGCGGCUGGUAAAGAGCCACUUUCUUCAAGGAGAAAUCCUUGAUAGAAGAACAUUCGGUUCAAGAAGAGCCAAACCAAUUGAGUAAAAGUAAAGAAUCGGCUGAUGAAGCCGAGGUAUAUGCGGCUAGGAUGAUAAAGAGCCGUUUCUUUAAGCCGACCAAGACCAGCGAAACUAAAGCUUGGGUCUCGGCUGUGUCAUUGAGCAGUCGAUUUGGCACCAAUAGGCAUCCGAAUGUUCAUUCGAAAGACUAUUUGGGGGGCAUUGUUGAUGCCAAAAUUAAAAUUAGGCAGGAACUGUUGAGAAGUGGGAUGUAACUUCCACGAUCAUGGCUACACCACUCCCCCCACUAUUCAAAACCGACCAAUAAUGUGGGCUGAGAAGACAGCACUAUAAAUAGUAAUUUCGAAGCCUGCAAUAGAGGUCUUUUCCCCGUGAACAAAAGACCACCUUUAUUUCUUCUACAAUUUCUUCGCAUUUUCUAGAAGUAGUCAACUUGUAAUCUUUUACUUUCUCGCACUUACCAUUUUUCCUAGGAGUAGAGUUAAGUUAGAUCAACCGAGUCUGUAUGCCCUCAGGCACACUCGACCCUUGUACUGUUCUUGCAAGCUAAUUCUAAUAUAUCAAGGCAUUCGGCUCAUCAGCCGACCUGAAAUCCUUUGUUUUCUAUACAUUUGGCUCAUCCAGCCGAACCUAUUCUGUAAUAGAAGAUUCUGAACUCGGCUGAUCCGAUCCCUUAUCAGCCGAAUCGCUUGAUCCAGUCGAAGGGCGCAAACUUCGAGGGUCACUAAUCGUAGCCGUUUCGCAUCCCGACGCGCUUCCCGAGGAAGAUCUUUGACCGGGUCAAAGAAGAGGGAAUUCGACACCUAACACUAACUAAGAAAAAUAAAGUUGGAUUUCUUUGUUUUCCCCAUAAUUGGAGGGGUUCUGUUACAAUCUUACAUAAUGCAUUUUGCAAAACUUAGGAACCACGACCUCAUAUAUUAUUUGCAAUUAAUAGUCAAUCUAGGGAGCUCUGUGCUUUCAAACAAGAAAAGAAAGAAAGAAAGAAAAAAAAAAAAACAGAACUAAGUUUUUUUAUUAUUGCAUUACAAUUAGUUGAUACGUCCACAUGUAAAUCUAUUUGAUCAUAGGAAUCAAUCCUAAAAGUUCUUAUGCUUUCAAACAAAACAAUAUAAAUCAGAGAUUUCAAAAAUGGGAUUGAGUCCAGCUUAAAGCGAAAAAACAUCUAUCAUAGCCAAAAAACGUCAUGGAGAAACCAAAAUAAAGUUUCAAAUCCAUCAGUUUUUCCAUAAAAGAAUAUCCGGUCUUAAUUGUUAACCCAAAUUAGAACCUAUAGAAACAAAUAAUUUAAUUAGAUUGAUGAUAUAAAGAAAAAUAUAUAGAUGAACCAAUACAAAAUGAACAUAAUUUAAUAAAAAAUGUACCAACUGGAGCUUUACAAAGCUCUCACUACCAGACUGCUAACAAAAACUAAUAUAUAUAUAUGUAUACAAACCUAAAUUCUAAAAUAGGGAUUUUAAACCCAAAAUUAGAGGUAAUAGAAUAGGAACAAAUAGGAAACCCUCUCUAAUCCUUUAGCCUUUACCUUUACUACUAAUUGAUAGUUAACUUGGAGCAAAAAUAUUAAUGGAACAUAACCUUAUCAACUAAACCCUAAACCCUCCAACCAAAAAAAACAGAGAUGAGAGAGGGGGAAAAAAAAACUUUUAAAUUUGAAGUAUUGAAGUUUAAUUUUUCACUAACCCUAAUAAGUUGGGUUUUCACUAAGUUUCAAAAAGUUAUUUGGAAUAAAUAUACUAGGAGAAGAUAAAGACCAUAAAAAAGGAGAAAAAUCUAGAAGUUAUCUACCUGGUAGUAACUCGAGAGAAAUAGAGGUUGAGAAGAAGCAUAUGGAACCACAAGCUCCCCCAAAGGUUGCUUUAAUCGCUCGAAGACCUAAAUACAACACCUUGCUCCUUAGCCAUGUAUGGUCGCUUAGUUUCCUGCCCAAAUAUAACACACUACCUCUGAUGUUGAUGACUUGCUUCAAAUUGUAGGAUGAGGAAGGAGGGAGUGGUGGGAGAGGGGAGGGAAAAGAUGGCCAAGUUGAGGGAAUGGUGGGAGAGGGGAGGGAAAAGAUGGCCAGGUUCAGAAAAAAAACCUCAGGGGGAAGAGAAGGGGUAGGUGAAAAAAGUAGCGCGUAAUGAAAAAGAAGGCGCCUUUUUCUGUAGCAUCGCGCCUUUGGGCUUUUGCGACGGGCCAAAUCCAAAUUAAGACGACCAAAUAAUUUUUGGUCGGUACUCUGGCUCUUUUGGCCAACUGAAAGUUUAUUUAUAUUUUUUGCACUUUUAGUAACCACUUAAGGAGACUGGUCACCUAAAGUUGGUCACUAAAAAGCCUUUAUAUGUAAUUAGUAGGCUUUCCUACAGUUUGCUCCACGCAAGGGAAUAAAUUAAUUUUACCGCCAAAUUUGAAUGUUCUUCUACAUUCAACCUUUCAUCAUUUCUUGAAGGCGGAUUAUAUCUUGUCUCGAAACCUUCUAUGUAUCAAGAACAAAAAGUCAUGCAUUCAUCUACUAAGUAAGCUUCUGCAAAUAGCCCUCCGGACAAGGCCUGUUACGCUCAUAUGACUUUAAGGUCCCAAGGUACCUAAUAAAAAAAAAAAAGAUAAAAGAUAAUUUGAUUUGAUAAAUAAAUACUAACAUAAAAAAUUUAAAUGACUACUCUAUGUUUGGACAUACCAUUCAAUAGGAUACAUCCAUCGAUACUGAACUGGAUUGGCAAUCUUUGUCUUAGUAACCAAAUGGAUGACUAAAUGCACCAUAAUAGUAAAAAAAAAUUUACCGAUUGUCUCUAGAGUAAGUGGCAAACGGCUGAUUGGUACUCGAGGUCCCAGGUUUGAAUCCUAGUUGAUUCACAUUUCCAGCUAAGUUUAUUGCGCCUUAUUAGGGCACUCGCUACCAUUUAAAAGAGCAUGCCAGUCACAAACCUACUAAUAAACAAGAAUUGUUCAGCUUUCGUCGUUCAUCCUUGCGUUCUAAAGUUGAACGAGCAUUCGGCAUAUUGAAAAACUGUUUCAAGUUUUAACAUCCACUAAAAAAAUGUUGAUUUGUGGUGACACUUAUUUUAGUAACGCUUGACACAAGUGUUGACAAAAAUAUAUUUUAGCAGCGGUUUUAACUAAUUAUUAUAAUAGUUCAAUUCUAUACCGUUGGUUGUAGUAAUAUAAUGAUUGAGGGAUUUUUUGUUUCUUUUUAUUUUUCUUAUUUUUAAUUUUAACUUUUUAAAAUUUCCAAAGGAAUUGGGAAAACUAGAUGGAAAUGUAUUAUUGCUAAAAUGGAGCACAGCUUAUCUCAAAGCCGCAUUGGAUUGGGGCUUCAACGGUAAUAGAGGGUGAAAUUGGGCCCAAAAUUAUAGAUAUUUGGACCCAUAAGGGCCGUUUAUAUGAAUUAAUGUUUUGGAAUAAAUAGUUUACAUUGAUGUAAUUUACAGAAUUGAAAAUUCUAUAUAAAAGAAAGUCUUAAUUUUGUUUUUUUUAAAAAAAGCCUAUUUACAGGAACAUGUAAUAUAUAGAUUCUAGUAUUAGAAUAAAAAAAAAGUUAUAAAACUAGUGUGAAAGAGUUGGUUGUUAAAGAGUGAACUUAUAAGAUUACAACCAAUUUUUUAUUGUAGAGUUACCAUUACUUAAAAUUUUUCAUUCCAAUUAAAACCCAGCCCUAAAGAAAUUUUGAUCUCAACUAAGGGGGCGUUUGGAUUGACGAAUUUGUAGAUUCAACGUAAGUCAAGUGUAGUGGUGUUUGAGUUUCCCUGAAGUGUGAUUAUUUUUCUGUUGUUUGUUUUGACGUAACUCGUACCACUGAAAGUUAAAUUCAAUCACUUCUGCUGUUUGUUUUGAUGUAACUUGGUGCUGGUAAAAUUAGUUUUUUGAGUUCCGUUGUUUGUUUUGAUGUAAGUAAGUGGAUCACAUUAUCUCUUAAAUAUAGUAAUAAAUUUAUCACUAUAAAAAUUAACCUAUUAUAUAAUUAAUUUUUUUAUUAUUAUUUAAAGAUAAUCUUAAUUUAUUAUAAAUAAAAUAAUUCUAACCCAUUAUAAAGAAAGUAGAGUUUAGGUUUUACUGUUUAAUAAAUUAUUUAGAGAAGGUUGAGUGUGGUGGAAGUCGAGUUCGGUACUUUAGAGCCGGAAGUCGAGAGUAGGUGAAGUGGAGCUCUAACAUAACUUGAGUUACAUUACAUUUUUCACUUACACCAAAACAAAUAACGAAAGUGAUGGAACUUGAGUUCCAUCACUCCACUUACACCAAAACAAACAGGCCCUAAAAACCCAGCGCAAAAAGAAUUUUUGGAUCCCAAUAAAACCCAGCCCAAGUGAAAAGGAAAAAGGAAAAUAGAAUACGAUCAAAACCAAAACCCUCCUCCCAUCUCUCGCGCGCCGCGCCCCACCGUCCCCUCCCUCUCUUCACGAUCAAAUUCCUGUCCUCUCCCCCCCGAUACCGAUCCCCCUCAACACUCUCUCCGUCUCCGACACCGAUCUUCGUCUCCGACACCGCACCAACCCGCGGGACAACAGAGUUAGUAGUAAUCACUUGGUAGUAGUAAUGACUAUGUAGAGUUCGAUAUUUAACUUCACAUCAGUGUUUUUGAUGCAAUUUUUUCUUGAUUUUCUCUACUUUUUAUGUUUAUUAGGCUUUUCUUGAUUUUCUCUACUUUUUAUGUUUAUUAGGCUUCUAGUUGCUUGGAUUUGGUAUUACUCUCCUCGACCCCAGCUCAGAGAGAUCUAGGGUUGGGGGUUUCGAUUGCCCAAUGGAGGAGGUCAGCUCUCUUUGUGUUCGCUUUUUUUUUAAUCACUCUGGAGUUUGGAGUGGACGAAUUCGACGAGGUAAUUGGUGAAUCUUCUAUCUCAUCCUAUUGAUCCGUAAACUUCAAUUUAUGUGAAUUGGGUCAUGAACUUAGAGACUUCUUCGCUUGGUCUAUUCAUGCUUAAUUAGUUUGAUACGAUGCAUCCAACUUUCUAAUAAUUGUGUGAACAAAAAUAAAUAAGUUAUUUCUAAUUUCUUCCCAAUUCAGAUUGGAGUACUCAUUGCCUAAUCUGGUCAACAAAUCUUAUCAUUAUAAUUUUCUAUCAUAGAAAUGCAUUAGUUUCCUUCAAAACAACAUUAAACAAGGUUUAAGAAUCACCUAAGGGUAGCACAUUUUAUGUUCUCGCGAUCCCAUUAAACAACAUUUGAAAAUGCAGUUUCCCCUGGGAUUGCAAUUUGACAAUAAAUUUGAAUUAUUCUAUUCCCGUGAGUAGUCCACUGGGCUAUAAGGAUAUGUGGAAGACCUAUAUUCUCUAUUCAGAUGUUUGAAAAACCUCCAUAGCUAAUUUUGUUGGGAUCAUUUGAUAGCUUUCUUUAUGGCAAAUAGCAUAAGAUUUAAGCUGAAGCUUCUAAUUUGAAAGUCAUGCAAAACAUACAUAGAGGAAGAACAACAAGUUGGAGCUCAGAAACUUACAUACUAGUGGCCCACAAGAAAAAAGGUAGGAAAAAUGUGCUGAAAGUAGAAAAUCUAGACAAUAAAUAAACAAGGUUAUUUUUCAGGUUUUGCCCUAAAAAUUAGAACUAUGAAGGAGAUUAACCUACUGUUCUAUUGGUGGUUGUGGGGAAGUAAAGCUUAUUAUCGGUUAAAAAGUUCAUAUGGUGGGAAAUCCGCCCAAAUCAAAUCAGCCGAUUGUGGGAUGUUAUCUAUCACCAUUUAGUGCAUAUUGUGCUAGUAUAUUUUCUUUUUUUGGUGAUAGUGCAGGAACUUUUUGCCUCUUAAGUAUCAAACAUUAAAAUAAGCUUUGUUAUCUCAUAGAAAUUCCAUUUUUAUUUUUAUAUACACGCAUGCAGAUAACCGUUCUUAUUGGUACUUAUUAUUUUUCAACAUUGGGCACUACAACUAUAUAUAAAUUAUUCAUUCAGAUCCGAACUUCUCACAUGUGAAUUAAGUAGUUGCUGCCCAUAUGACACAUUUAAUACUCAUCCAAACAUAUAUUUUCAUAAAAUCUAAAAUGAUUUUAGUAAUAAAAACAAAAGACUUGAUAAGAUUAGAGGAAGACAAAUAGAUUUUGGAUGAAUGGAGUGGUAAUAUGUUUACCUAGUCUAAAACUUGAUAAGAAAAAUUCGAGUAGGUACCCAUUUACUUGAGAAGUUGUACGCGAUCACCUGAUUUGUAAUGGAAUUAGUCCUAAUUAUGAUAAUUGGUUCUUUUAUGGGGAACCCAUAUUUAGAGCCACAUCUAAUCCUACUAAUGAGAGUCGUAGUUUUCUGGUCCAUAAUGUGAAUGAUAGUAUACGUGGCAUGCUACAUGAAGCUUUUCAAAUGCAUAAUAAUCAACUUCAAGAUGACUUUCAAGAUGAUAGUGAUUUUCAAGACUCAUCUGGAAAAGGUUCUGAUUCACAGUAACCUAAAGGUGCUCCAAAUAAAGAUGCAAGCAAAUUUUAUAAGUUACAUAAAGAUGCUAAACAACUUUUGUAUAAUGGUUGUGAGAAGUAUAGCAAAUUGACAGCUAUUGUAGUUUUAUAUUAUGUAAAGUCCCUUCAUGGGUGGAGUAGUAAAUCUUUUAGUAUGCUCCUUGAAGUACUAAAAGAUAUGCUUCCUUCAGAUGCUAAGUUGCCAGAUGAUUGCUAUGUCGCGAAAAAAAUAUAUUAGGGACCUAGGCCUUGGAUACGAAAAGAUUCAUGCAUGUCCUAAUAAUUUUAUUCUAUUCUGGAAAGAGAAUGCAGAUUCUGAAAUUUGUCCAAAAUGUAGUACAUCAAGAUGGAAAACUAAUGACGUUAAUAUUAAUCUAGAUGUGGACGAAAAUUCCAUAAAAAAAAAAAAGCUAGCAAAAGUACUGCGAUGGUUCCCUUUAAAGCAAAGGCUUCAAAGAUUAUUCAUGUCCUCAAAAACUGCUUCUAUGAUACAAUGGAAUGCUGAAGGUCGGGCGAAUGAUGGGUUGAUAAGGCAUCCUGCUAAUUCAAUAGUAUGGAAAAAUUUUGAUAGGCGAUAUGCAGACUUCUCAUUAGAUUCUCGCAAUGUUAGCAACUGAUGGGUUCAAUCCUGUUCAAACUAUGAGCACUAAUUACAGUUGUUGGCCUGUCAUAUUGAUCCCAUACAACUUGCCACCAUGGGUAUGCAUGAAGAGGUCUUUGUUUAUUUUGUCAUUACUCAUUCCAGGCCCGAAUUCACCUUCUAUUAAUAUAGAUGUGUAUUUGCAACUUUUGAUCGAGGAGUUAGUACAAUUGUGGGAACUCGGCCUUGAUACAUACAACGCAUCUGUCGGAGAAAAUUUUUGUAUGCGUGUUGCAUUGUUAUGGACAAUUAAUGACUUUCCUGCAUAUGGUGACUUAUCUAGGUGGAGCACCAAGGGUCCUCUUUCUUGUCCUUCUUGUAAUUACGAUACUCGUUUUCGAUGGUUAAAAUACGGUGGCAAAUACUGCUUUAUGGGUCAUAGGCGAUUCUUACAAAAGAAUCAUAGAUUUCGAAAAACUAGGAUAUCAUUCGAUGGCACUCAAGAAAAUGGAGUUGGCACCUAAAAUAUUAUCCGGAGUAGAAAUUUUGGAGCACACUUAAUAAGUUGAAUGUAACUUUAGUAAGCAUAUUAAUAUAUGUCAAAAGAAAGGAAAAGAAAUGAAAAUAUAGAGUAUCAACCAUAGAAGAAAAGGAGUAUAUUUUUUAUGUCACCUUACUGGGAACACCAUAUGUUGCGUCACAAUCUUGAUGUGAUGCAUAUUGAAAAGAAUAUCUACGAUAAUAUUCUUGGCACAUUAUUGAAUUUUGAUGGCAAAUCAAAGGACAAUCUGAAGGCAUGCCUUGAUUUAAAAUAUAUAGGNCACCUUACUGGGAACACCAUAUGUUGCGUCACAAUCUUGAUGUGAUGCAUAUUGAAAAGAAUAUCUACGAUAAUAUUCUUGGCACAUUAUUGAAUUUUGAUGGCAAAUCAAAGGACAAUCUGAAGGCAUGCCUUGAUUUAAAAUAUAUAGGAUUAUGACUUGCUUCAUCCUCAAAGUGUUGGACUAAAUAAAAUUAUUUUACCACCAAAUUGCUUCACAAUGUCUCUAAAAUAAAAGGAUGAGUUUUUAAAAAUUUUGAAAAAUGUGAAAGUGCUGCAUGGCUAUGCAUCUAACCUAUCAUGUAUUCAGCUUAAGGAACGCAAAAUGAUAGGUUUAAAGAGUCAUGAUUGUCAUAUUUUAAUGCAACAACUUCGUCCGAUAGCAUUGCGUGGUGUUUUAUCGAAGAGAGUAGUUGCACAUCUAAUUGACUUGUGUUGUUUCUUUUGUGAGCUGUGUUCCAAAACUUUGGAUGUACGUGAACUUGAGCAAUCGGAAUCUCGAUUUGUGGAAACUCUAUGCCAUUUGGAAAUAAUCUUUACUCUGUUUUUUACCAUUAUUGUACAUUUGGUCGUCCGUUUAGUUACUGAAGCCAAAAUUGCAGGACCAGUACUAUCAUUGGAUGUAUCCUAUCUUUUAACUCUUCUAGUCUAUGUUAUCUUUUUGACCUGUAGGGCUCUCUUGCGGCUCAAGUUUGAGGUACGUAUAAGGCUCAUCCGGAGGAUUCAAUUGCAGAAAGCUACAUGGUAGAAGAAUGUAUGACGUUUUGGUCAUGGUUAUAAAAAGAUUCAUAUGGAGAAUUUUGUUAGCUGGUUUCAAUCAUAUGACCAAAACCGGUCAACAAAAUUCUCUAUAUGAAUCUUAUUUAUAACCAUAUCACUUGGGCGUGUUCCACGAUUCUACCUCUUUAUUGCAUUUUUAUGAAUACUAGACAAAAAGAAAUAAUGUUAAUAUCAAGCAAUUAAAACUAGUAGGUACAUAAUACUUAUAUGAUAUAGUUAUUGACCUGCAAAAAGGAAUUAUUUCAUUACUAUUGAACAGUACAUAUCGAUGAGCUUGCAGCCAUGACUUUUGAUCAAGAAGAAUAUUUAAGAUUGCUCCCAUUGAAUCAUCAAUAUUCCUAGCGGGCCUAUUGAAUGUUGUCUCGAUAGUUUCCUCAUACAUUCUUCUACCAUAUAGUCUUCUACAAUUGAACUCUCUGGAUGAGCCUUAUUACAUAUCUUAGACUUAAGCCGAAUGAGAGCCCUACAGGUCGAAAAGAUAACAUAGACUAGAAAAGUUAAAAGACAAUUAGGUUAAGUAAAAAGUAACAAGAUGACUAGGUCAAACCUAACCUCUCGAUAGGAUACAUCCAACGAUAGUAUUGACUUCAGUAGCUAAAUGGACGACCAAUGUACCAUAAUGGUGAAAAAUGAAGGAAGAAAGAUUGUUUCCAAAUGACAUAGAGUUUUCAUAAUUCGAGAUUCCAAUUGCUCAAGUUCACGUACAUCCAAAGUUUUGGAACACAACUCACGAAAGAAACAACACAAGUCGAUUAGAGGUGCAACUACUCUCUUCGGUAAAACCCCACGCAAUGCUAUUGGAAGAAGUUGUUGCAUUAAAACAUGACAAUCAUGACUCUUUAAACCCUAUCAUUUUACGUUCCUCAAGUUGAAUACAACAUGAUAGGUUAGAUGCGUAGCCAUCCGGCUCUUUCACAUUUUUCAAAAUUUUUAAAAACUCAUCCUUUUAUUUUAGAGACAUUAUGAAGCAACUUGGUGGUAAAAUAAUUUUAUUUAGUCUAACACUUUGAGGAUGAAGCUCAGGUCGUAAUCCCAUAUCUUUAAAUCAAGGUGUGCCUUCAGAUUGUCCUUUGAUUUGCCAUCAAAAUUCAAUAAUGUGCCAAGAACAUUAUCGCAUAUAUUCUUUUCAAUAUGCAUCACAUCGAGAUUGUGACGCAAUAUUUGGUGUUCCCAAUAAGGUAACAUAAAAAAUAUUCCCCUUUUCUUCCAUGGUUGAUAUUCUAUAUUUUCAUUUCUUUUCCUCUUUCCUUUUGACAUAUUAAUAUGCUUACCAAAGUUACAUUCAACGUAUUGUAUUGAGUGUGCUCCAAAAUUUCUGCUCCGAAUAAUAUUUUAGGUGCCUACUCCUUUUCUUGAGUGUCAUCGAAUGAUAUCCUAUCUUUUCGAAAUCUAUGAUUCUGUUGUAAGAAUCGCCUAUGGCCCAUGAAGCAGUAUUUGCCACCGUAUUUUGACCAUCAAGAGCGAGUAUCGUAAGUACAAGAAGGACAAGAUAGAGGACUCUUGGUGCUCCACCCAGAUAAGUCACCAUAUGUAGGAAAGUCAUUGAUUGUCCAUAACAAUAUAGCACGCAUACAAAAAUUCUAUUCGAUAGAUGCAUCAUAUGUAUCAAGGCCGAGCUCCCACAAUUGUACUAACUCCUCGAUCAAAGGUUGCAAAUACACAUCUAUAUUAAUAGAAGGUGAAUUCGAGCCUUGAAUGAGUAAUGACAAAAUAAACGAAAACCUCUUCAUGCAUAUCCAUGGUGGCAAGUUGGAUGGGAUCAAGAUGACAGGCCAACAACUGUGCUUAGUGCUCAUAGUUCGAAAAGGAUUGAACCCAUCAGUUGCUAAUCCGAGCCUAACAUUGCGAGGAUUUAACGAGAAGUUUGCAUAUCGCCUGUCAAAACUUUUCCAUGCCAAUGAAUCAGUAGGAUGCCUCAUCAACCCAUCAUUCGUUCGACCUUCAGCAUGCCAUUUUAUUAUAGAAGCAGUUUUUGAGGACAUGAAUAACCGUUGAAGCCUUUGCUUUAGAGGGAACCGCCGCAGUACUUUUGCUGGCUUUUUCUUUUUGAUGGACUUUUCUUCCACAUCUAGAUUAACAUUAACAUCAUUAGUUUUCCAUCUUGAUGUACUGCAUUUUGGACAAAUUUUAGUAUUUGCAUUCUCUUUCGAGAAUAAAAUACAAUUAUUAGGACAUGCAUGAAUCUUUUCAUAUCCAAGGCCUAGGUCCCUAAUAUAUUUUUUUACGAUAUAGCAAUCAUCUGGCAAGUUAGCAUCUGAAGGAAGCAUAUCUUUAGUACUUCAAGGAGCAUACUAAAAGAUUUAGAGGCAAUUGCCUAUAUACUCUUGAAAAGUUUCCGGUUUUCUUAUUUACCCCUCUUAGAAGGCUAAUAUUGAAAAUACCCUUCUUAUAUUCCAAGCGUUUCUAAUAUACCCCUGGAGUUAAUUUUCGUUAGUGAGCUGCCGUUAUCUCUAGAAAAUUACUAUUUUGCCCAUUCUAAUAUGCCCUUCUACCGUAACUAACUUUUCUUAUAUAUCCUUCAUAUAGCAAAUACUUUUCUUAUUUGCCCUUCAAAUAUUAAUUAAUUAAUUAAGCACGUCAGGAGCGAGCAGAUGAACGGAUGAGAUCGAUCGCAGCUAAACCAACCUUGGUGGCCGGAGGCAUAGUUAGUUAAUUCGGAUUCGGCAAAAAUUCGGUACGGAUAUAAUUCGGAUAAAAUUCGAUUUUUAAUUUUUAAAUUCGUUGAAAAAUACGGCUAAAAAACGGAUUCGAUAGUUAUUCGGAUACGUGAUUUAUACGGGUAUUAUACGUUCACCAAUUUAAAAUUCGGGAUCAAAUAUAAUUUUUAUAUAUAAUUUUUAAAAAUUCGGUAUUAUACUAUAUAUAUUAUUAUUAUAAUAUUUAUAUAUAGAUUAAAUAUAUUUAAAAUUAUGAUAAACAUAUACUAAUAAUAUAUAAGAGUUAUAUAUUUAAAAAUAUUAAUAAAUAAUUACAAAUUUAUAAAUAAAAUAUUAUAUAAUAAUAUUUCUAUAUAUAAAUAAAAUACUAUAUGAAUAUAUAUUUAUAAAUUAUAUAUAUAUAUAUAUAUACACACACACACACACACACACACUUAUAUAUAUAAUGAGAGGGAGGUCCACGGUGGACCUCCCUCUCAUCCGGUCCACGAGGCCAAAUUGGCCUCGUGGACCGCGCACACCCAAGGGCGAGGGCGUGCCGUUGCCGGGCGUCCGCGAGAGAGAGCGCGCCGCGCUCCGCCGUCCGCAAGGGCGUGGGCGUGGUGCGGUCGGGCGUAGUGGGGGAGGGGUGCUGGUUGCGGGCGACCUAGAGGUCCAUGAUCUUGCGGGCAGCGUCGGUGCUCUCGUGCAUGAGGCGGGCGACCUCGGCCUUGGGCAGGCCCAGGCGGAGCGUGCGGGCGUCGUCGGGGUGGGCGUGGGCGUGGGAGUUGAGGAGGGAGAGGUCGGAGGAGGAGGACGACAACGACGAUUCAACAAAUCCAUAGGCUCUCGGCGUCGACCAAGGCGGCGGAGGAGGAGGAGGACGACGAGAGCGGCGAGAGGGGUGGUGGUCUGGGAGGUGGUGGUGGUGGUCUGGGAGGAGAUGAGGCGAGGUGGAGGCGGAGGAGCCGGCGAGGUGGAGGCGGAGGAGCUGGCGAUCACGUUGGGAGAGAGAGGAUAACUUAAGGAAUUAACAUAAUAAGGUAGGGGUAAAAUAGGUAUUUUAUAUAGGUUUUAACUCUAGUAUACAUUUAACCCAUAUUUAACUCGAGUUAAGUUAAUAGGGGAUAACUGCGGGGGUAUUUUGGAAUAACGGUGGAACAUAUGAGGGGCAUUUUAGAAAGAAAAAAAAAAGUAGGGAUAGAUCGGAUAUUUCUAGACGCAUGAGGGGUAUAUAGGCAAUUAUCCCAAAGAUUUAUUGCUCCACCCAUGAAGAGACCUCAAAUGAUAUAAAACUACAAUAGCUGCCAAUUUGCUAUACUUCUUACAACCAUUGAACAAAGGUUGUUCGGCAUCUUUAAGUAACUUAAAAAUUUACUUGCAUCUUUAUUUGGAGCAUCUUUAGGUUGCUGUGAAUCAGAACCUUCCCCAGAAGAUGAGUCUUGAAAAUCACUAUCAUCUUGAAAGUCAUCUUGAAGUUGAUUAUUAUGCAUUUGAAAAGCUUCAUGUAACAUGCCACAUAUACUAUCAUUCACAUUAUGGACCUAAAAACUACGGCUCUCAUUAGUAGAAUUAGAUGUGCCUCUAGAUAUGGGUUCCCCAUAAAAGAACCAAUUAUCAUAAUUAGGACUAAUUCCAUUGCAAAUCUGGUGAUCGCAUACAACUUCUCGAGUCCAACUAUAGAAAUUUGUGCAUUUCAUACAAGGACAUGAAAUCCUCCUAUCCUCUGACCCAUUUUUAAAAGUAAAAUUCACAAAAUCAUUUGCUCCUUUAUAAUAUUCAUAUGUCCAUCUACUCUUUUUUAUCCAACUUUUAUCCAUUGCAGUACUUAUCAAGUUGUAAAAUCAACCUAUAAAAAAGAAAGCUCAUAAUUAUAAAAGAAAAUGUAGAUCAAGUAAAUAAUUGGUAAAAGUAAAUGGGUACCUACUCAAAUUUUUCUUAUCAAGUUUUAGACUAGGUAUACAUAUUAUACUCCAUUCAUCCAAAUAUCUAUUUUUCUCCCUCUAAUCUUAUCAAGUCUUUUGUUUUUAUUACUAAAAUCAUUUUAGAUUUUAUGAAAAACUAUGUUUGGAUGAGAAUUAUAUCUGUCAUAUGGGCAGCGACUACUUAAUUCACAUGUGAGAAGUUCGGAUAUGAAUGAAUAAUUUAUAUAAUUGUAGUGCCCAAUGUUGAAAAAUAAUAAGUACCAAUAAGAACGGUUAUAUGCGUGCGUGUAUAUAAAAAUAAAAGUAGAAUUUCUAUAAGAUAACAAAGCUUCUUUUAAUGUUUGAUACUUAGAGGCAAAAAGUUCCUGCACUAUCACCAAAAAAAGAAAAGAAAUAUACACUAGCACAAUAUGCACUAAAUGGUGAUAGAUAACAUCCCACAAUCGGUUGAUUUGAUUUGGGUGGAUUUCCCACCAUAUGAACUUUUUAACCGAUAAUAAGCUUUACUUCCCUACAACCACCAAUAUAAUAGUAGACUAAUCUCCUUCAUAGUUCUAAUUUUUAGGGCAAAACCUGAAAAAUAACCUUGUUUAUUUACUGUCUAAAUUUUUCCACUUUCAGCACAUUUUAUCUACUUUUUUCUUGUGGGCAACUAGUAUGUAAGUUUCUGAGGUGCAACUUGUUGUUCUUCCUCUAUGUAUGUUUUGCAUGACUUUCAAAUUAGAAGCUUCAGCUUAAAUCUUAUGCUAUUUGCCAUAAAGAAAGCUAUCAAAUGAUCACAAUAAAAUAAGCUAUGGAGGUUUUUCAAACAUCUGAAUAGAGAAUAUAGGUCUUCGACAUAUCCUUAUAGCCCCAAACCUAUUACUUGGCAUUGCCUAGAAUAGUGGACUCACUACAAAAAAGUCGAUUUGUGGCGACAGUUAUUUUAGUAACAUUUAACACAAGUGCUGCCAAAAAUAUAUUUUAGCAGCCGUUUUAAAUAAUUAUUAUAACAUUUCUAAACCGUCGGUAUAUAGUAGUAUAAUAACUGAAGGAUUUUUAUUUUAACUUUUUUUUAAUUUCCAAAGUGAUUUAGAAAGGCAGCUAGAAAUGUGUUAAUGCUAAUUGGGCCUAGCUUAUCUUGGGCUGCACUGAAUUUGGCUUCAACAUUAUUAGUGGGUUACAUUGUCCCCAAAAAAUUAUCGGAUUUACAUAUUUGAACUCCAUAAGAAUUGUUUAUAUUAAUUAAUGUUUUGGAGUCAAAAAAAUUAAACCAAUGUAAUUCAUAGAAUCUAAAAUUCUAUAUAUAAAGAAGUCUUAUGUAGUACACUGAACUGGCGCAAAUUGCGAAGUUCAAGUGUGGAAACGAUAAUUGGAACUACCUGACACCUUCUAAAGGGUUUAGAGAUGGUUGUGGACAAGUUUGGGAGUGAUUAGGCCACUGGAAGCGAGAAAGUGCAUUGCUACUACUAUUUCUGCAUCUUCUGCAUUGUUGUACCGGUACAACAUUGAGUCUGUACCGGUACAACAAGCAUCAGCAGCAGCAGCUGCGUGGCAGUGAGGAGAUUUUGGUAAUUUCACCUUUUAAGCUUAUCUUUAACCCUGAAUUUGACCCUUGCAGCUGUCUUGGAGGUGCUGGAGCCUGGAGAGGCAGGUUGGAAGGCUUCUCUUCUUCUCUCUCUAGGGUUUUUCUCUCUCUACAUUGGAAUCAAGGGUUUUGGUCUACUUUCUUCUCCUUCUUUGAUGCUGAUUGUUUUGGGAAGCCAGGGAGCUGUUGUAGAAGGGUGAAGAAGGUAUUUUGGGAAGGAUUUCGCAACUCCAUCACAGCAGGUAGCUGAGUGGAGACUUGCUAAGGUAACUAACUAACUAUUUGUUAGCUUAAUGCUUUAGUAGUAGAGUUGAAUAUGAUUUCGGGUUUCUUGUGCCCAGCUGGUGUGAGGGGAGUUCUAGUAGCCCUAGAAGCAGGAUUUGAUGUGGUUUUUGUAACCUGAAUCCAGAGGGAGAAUGAGAUUGGAACUUGGAAUGAGGUAAGUAGUGAAUUGAUUACCUUAUGUGAGGUUACAAUAAGCUUGUUAAUGAAGAAUGAAGUUGUUUUUGGGUACAUGUUGCUGCAGCUUGGAGGCUCCUGUUGUGCUGAAUAGCUUGACAUUGUGAACUAGGUUGAGGGGAUUUCAACUAGAAGGAAGCAGAGUUACAAGUAAGAAAUCUAUAUAAAUGAGAUUUGAGCCUCGAUUUUGUGGUUACCCAAGUGUACUAAUGCAGUUUUGGGUUUGGUUCACAGCAGGAAGUGCGCACCUUAUAAUUGAGAGUUAGGACUCUUUUGAGCUGGAUUAAGCUGAUUGUGGAGUACUUCAAUUCAGAUUGAAGUAAAGUUUUGGCGUAAGUCUCAACCUAGGUGAGACUUUAGUCUAUAUUAUGUGAAUAUGUGAGAUAUUGUUCUAAGUAUAUAAUUUCAGUCUCUAGCUGAUUUUCGAUUGGUUAAUUAGGGACUUGGAGACUUCAAUUUCCUGCAGCUGUGAGUUUGACAAGGGUCAUCUAUUAGUAGGUGGGUUUGGCCUUACCAGAGUAAGUGAAUCUCCUCUAUGUUCUAUAUGAUAUUAUAGAAUUAUUGGUAUGUGCAACUAUGUGAACAAGUACUAGAUACAGAAUAUUGGAUGCCAUAAAUACGCUAGUUUUAUUGAAUGGAAGGAAACCUCUAUAAAGUAGAGAUAAUUAUGAAUAAUUGUCUUAGCGUUCAGUUUAAUUGUAUAGAUAAGGGAUAGUCCUACUAUGCUUCUAAAAAGUAGAGAACAAGGACAUGCACUUGUGACAUGAAUAAUAAUGCAUUUAUGCUGUUAAGUUCCAAUGGCAUAUGUAAUUAGCAUCUCUUUUAUGGGUUAUUAAUCUAGUGGAUACUAGCAUUUUUUCAUCACAUUCAAAUUCCGACCCAUUGGUCGAGAGUGAGAACUUUACAUGUUAAAACAUGACGACUGAGAACUGUUGGACUAUGGAUCGUGCUUGCUUGCCAUUGUGCUCAUUCGCACAUGCUUGUGAGGGUCGCUCCCCACAAGCCGGCACUCUGGAGUUGGCCUACACGACAGAUUGCUCGUCCGUGCGGGAUUGGGUGCCGAAGUGGAUUGCCGUGGGGAGUGUAUACUAUUAUAGGGCCAUUAGGCGCGGCGCAAGCUAGACUACCUUGGGUAGGUCCUUAUGAAUUAAACUAAGUUACUAAAUGGUAGUAUUAAAGGAUCAGCACUACUUAGGGUACAGUUGCAUAUCUACAUGACAUGGUUAUGUUCCUAAUAUCGCUUUACUUGCUUCUAAUUGGUUGAUAUAGCUGACAGUAUGAUAUAUGUUCAUCAUUAAUUACAUUGAUAUACCUAUCAUGCAAUCAAUGUUUUUACAUUUCUAAUAGUACAUCAUGAGUCUAGUGGUGUAAUUCGCCGAGGCUGGCGGUUUACCCACUGAAAAUUAUUGUUUAAUAGUUCUCACGCCCUCUGUGUUGUUAUUUUUACAGAGCCUUCCACGACGGGAGAGGCUAGGGAUCGCGGCAAGGGAGUCGCGUCUAGCUAGGCAUAGCGUGGAGUCCUGCUAGGUGAUCACCUCGCUAUUUUGAUAUGCUGACGAGGAUGAAGUGUACCUUGUGUAGAGAGACUACCACUUAUGUUUUAUAUAGUUGUUGGGUGACCCUGUAGAGUACAUGAUUGUUUGGAGUGAUGUAAUUAUGGUUUUGGAUUUCUAUCUCGUGUAGAGAUUUGCAGGGUUUAUACUUUUCUCCUGAUAGUAGUAUUCUUGGUUUAUAUUUUGCUUUGAUAUCAUGUUAGAAUCUCUUGUUACUUUCCUAAUAAGAUUUUAUAGACGUCUUAUAUACUGCAGAUAUAUGACGGGUCUGUGCAUAAACCGGAUAUGCUUCUGCUGGUAUCCGGGCGUGACAUCUUACUUACCGACCGUCCAUAGAGCAAGUGGCAAAAGGUUUGGUGGUUGGUACCCGAGGUUCCAAAUUUGAAUCCUAGUUGAUUCAUAUUUUCAGCUAAGUUUAUUUUUAAACGAAAUAAGCGAAACUGGUAGCGUGCUACCUAUCUCUCUCUCAAAAAAAAAAAAGUUUUUCUUUUUAGAGAUUAAAAAAAAAAAAAUGUUACUUACACGAAUCUCUAAUAUAUAGAUUUUAGUAUGAAAAUAAAAAAAUUAUAAAACUAAUUUAAAGCGUUGAUCGUUAAAAGGUGAACUUAUAAGAUUGUAGUCAAUUUUUGAUUGGAGAGUUAGCAUUACUUCUUUUAAAAAAAUAAUCCACCCUCUUUGCGAUGAAACCCCCACCCCUCCUCGAUACCGAUCUCCCUCAACACUCUCUCCCUCUCCAACACCGAUCUCCCUCUUCGACACUGCACUAGUAAAUCGCUCGGUACUUGUAAUGGCUUGUAGAGUUCGAUGUUUAGCUUCAUAUCAGUGUUUUUUUUACUUGAUUUUCUCUGUUUUUUAUUUUUAUUAGGCUUCUAGUGACUCUGAUUUGGUAUUAUUUGCUCAGAUUUGGUAUUACUCGCCUCAACCCCAACUCAGAGAGAGAGGUCGGUUAUGUCUUGCUUGGAUUGGGGGUUUUGAUUGCCCAGUGGUGGAGGUGACCUCUCUUUGUGUGACCUGAGGCUAUCGGAUUCGCUUUUUUUAGCACUCGAUCGGGAGCUCGGAUUAAUCUGAAACUGGAAUUUGAGGUGAAAGACCUAGAGAUCUUACUUGAACUGUAGAAACAUGCAAUUUUGAAUUUGGUACCUGAACUGGAAAAUGCGGAAUUUAUUAUCUGAAUUUGGAAUUUUAAAUAUUUUGAUUCUACUAACUUACUUUUCAGAAUUUAAUGGAAUUGUAGAAUAUUUUGUUUGAUUAGGGAAUAUUUGACUAAUAAUGUUAUAAAUACAGUAAAGUUAGUUAGUAGAAUCAAAAAUUUUAUAGGCCUUGUCACUGUUUCGAUAAAUAGUGUACGAUAAGGUAGUAACAUAGUCCUCCUUUCACUAUGAAAAAACAUUAAGGAUACUGCCGCUUCUUGCUUAUGCAGUACACGAAGUGAUUGGGUGUAAUUCUUGGUCUAAGUAUUUUAUUAGUGGUGGUGAACUUCUUUUCUAUGGCAGAAAUUAUGCAUGCAAUUGAACAUUUGACCUGAUUUUGAUGUGAAAUGAGAGAAAUUUUACUCUUUUGACUUCGUCACUGUAGCAAAAGAUAGAAGUUGGAAAAGAGUUGUUCUUUCUUUCACCAGACAAAAAGACAUAGAUGUAUAGUUUUUAAAUGUUUGCCAAUGCAUUUAAUUGCAUAGAACUCGUGAUAAAACAAAAAAGGGAAAAAACUGUUGCAUAGCAAAACGAGGCCUACAAUCUUUUGAAUAAAGUUCAUCCUUAGCUGCAAAUAAGAUGCAUAUAUCAUAAUCAUGUCUAUGAUCACUGUCCCAAAUUUCCAUCAUUUAUUCAGUAUGGAGUAGUUUCCUGCUGCUCUUCAUUGUCUGGUUCUUUUGCUAAUUCAUUUUGUUAAAGAGCAAAGAACAUGCAUGUAAAAUUGUAGAUCUUACACGAAUAAAUAUGUAAAAAAGUUUUGCAAUGUUUUAUAUGUAAAUGCGUCUUUUUUCAUCAGCAUAUUUUGACGGCGUCGCUUGGAAUAAUGUAGUAUUGCGUAGACUCGUGUAAUCUUGUUUUUAAUCAGGAAAAUGAAGUCCAGGUUGAUGAAAUUAAUCACAUAUUGAAACUUUGUUUCUUUUUUUGUCCUUUUUUAUUCAGAAAUGCCAUGGCCUGCAAUGCCAGCACCCAGACUUUGGAAUCUCAGGUAUGUUAAGUGAUGAUAUCCUCAUCAUUUUGACCAUUAUUUAAUUUGAUCAAUUUCAAAUAAUAGAUUGGACAAGUGGGUGAGAAGAAUUGACUUUUUAUGAGCACUAUUUAGGUUAAUCUGUGAAACAGUUCUUAUUUGGUCAAGAAGGCGGAUGGGGGAUAAAUUGGUAGAAAGCGUUAAUGAAUCCAUUAAUCAGCUAAGCAGGAACUCGCCAUAACAUGGUUGAUUAUUGAGUUAGAAUUAGGCAUGUUUGUUGUAUUUUUGCAAAUAAAGUUUUCGUUGACAAAUUCUUUCCAUUCAUUUACUCUCCCAUCCUAACUUUCCUUACGCAGAUUGGCAAGUUUGAAGAAAAAUCAGAGAGAAGCACCUUUCAUAAGCAGUAUGUAGUAUUAACGAAUGAAAAAGUAGUUAGAGCUAGCGAAUUUGAAAGCAAUGGAGGUUUGCGACUAAAACUAAGACUUGUAGGCCUUAUUUGGACAUCAGAAUAUGUUAUCCAAUGAUUACUUAUUCAGUUUGAAGAUUUUGUCAUCCACGAUUUGGUAGGAAGUAAUAUUUCACCUACCAGCUAUGAGAUGAUUUGCCUUAUUCCGUAAAAAAUGAAUUAAGAAGAUACCAAAGUAGGGUCGGACUAACUAACCCCUUUGAGCACAGUUAGAUAUCCGCAGUUUUAUAAGAAAGGUUCGAUACCUAGCUAUGUCAAAUUGGUUUACAGUAAAGCAAUAAGACUUGUUCUUUACUGAAUUAGUGGUGUGAAUUAGUGGUCAUGUACCAAAUUUUACUAACAUUUCACUCUACAGUAUGCAAUAGUUUUCAUAUCUUAAUCGCAAUGCUACGGUGUUUGAUGCGCUGAAUUACUGGUAUUUGGCUGAUAUAUAUAUAUAUAUAUNCAUACCUAGCAGCUAAGCCUUCGAGAUAGUAGCUUUUGCUAAAUAUUCAUGCUCUCGCUAGCAUGAGUAUUAUCAUAUCAUCAGCCUGGGAUAUAUCCGACACCGAUGAUAUGAUAAUACUCAUAACCUCGAGAGCAUGAAGAUUCAACAAAAAAAACUACUUCGAAGGCUAAGAAAAUAGGUGAGGCAAUUUAUACUAGAUCUCAUAAACUAUGAAGAUCUUUAACAGUUUAAAGCACUGAAAAACUUUAGCAUUCCAUUUAAGACAGCUUGCUAAUAUUUUAAACGAAAGAUCUUUAAAAUUGACGACAGGUAUUGUAAAUUCCUACUACCUUAGCAAGCUAAGCCUUCGAGAUAGUAGCUUUUGCUAAAUACUCAUGCUCUCGCUAGCAUGAGUAUUAUCAUAUCAUCAGCCGUUAAAUGUUAUUUAUAGCAUUUAAAACUUCUAGAAAUCAAAUUUUAUAAUUUUUCGACAUCAUUUACCUUACGAUCAAGAGGUCACAAAUUUGACAAUUUUUAAUGGCCGGUAUGGGAUACUUGCUAUUUUAACGGUGUAAAAGAAUCGAAAUUUGUUGAAUUUUGAUACAAAAUUUUAUUCGCUAUCUAGAUAAAGAUCAAUAACUCUGAUCUUGAAUUGAAGGAUUCGAUCAUCCUUUUUUAGGACGUCGUUCGAUUUUGACUGUUUAUUUUAUGCUCGUUUGAUGGACUUUAUUAUGAUUUCGAAAAUUUACGAAAUUUAUUUUCUAGAAGUUUCAAAUACUCUAGAUCAUAUUUAACGGAGUGGAUCGUCGAUUUGGAAGCUUCAUCAUAAAAAACAAUUUAGAAGUACGAGAGCUCCAAUACUCAUAAUAGUAUAGUAGCCACGGCCUAUAUAGGGUCCGACUACUAUACUAUUAUGAGUACGAUCUGCCACAGCCCGCGACCACCCGCCUAUUUGGCUGAGGUCCCGGAGCCGCCGACAUCGCCGAAUGGACAGGGUUUCUCCUGUACUACGGACAGAGUCUCCCCUGUACAUUCAAGGCAUCGCAACCAAUACAAUUCACGAAGGUUCCAACCAGAAACAGAUAUCAAUCAAGAUUGCAAGUGGAAGGUAUCAUACAACAUAAACACAUCCUAAGUUAUUACAUUCAUUCACUUUCAUAGUUUUUAUAUUAUAGUUUCCAUUCUUUUUCAUCCAAAUGCAAUCUAAGUUAUUACAACAUUUACUUACUACAAGUUUGAUACAUUGUAUUCUUUUCAUUUCCUUUACCCCUAAGCUAUAUAGACGGGAUACUGCUAGCUCUGGUCUCUGGGGUAGGGCGCUAUCUGCAGAACUACGCCCUCGCCUUGCGCCGCCGCGCUGCACAUGUGUGUACCUGUACCCUCAAAACAGCAACACGGGGGUGAGACUAUUGUCCAUAGUCCUAAGUGGGUUUAGUCACCCAAGAGAACCAGCUCAACCAACAGGUCUAACGAGGCACUGCAACAUGUUAGUUCAACAAUAUACAACAGAUAUAUAUUCAAUUGAAAUACAUGUCAUGCCUCACGAAAUGCAAGAUGCAAUACCUGUAAUCAUGUAAGUAGGGUACUUUAACGCUACUUAUAUUCUUAAUCAUUCUUUACCCUUGUCAUUUAAUGUUUACUUUUAGCUCUUAGCUAUUCUUUACUUGUAACCUUUCUUUACUUUAUCAGCUAUUCUUAUUCCUUAGCCGAUCUUUAUUCUUUACUUAUUCUUUAUUCUUUACUUAUUCUUUAUUCUUUAUACUUUGUUGCACUUUUCCACUGGCCAUUCUUUCCAAAGGUUUCUCUUACCUUAGUUCUCUAUGCCAUUCGAUUCGGUCUUAAGUCAAUCAAUCGCGGAUAGUCCGCGCACUGUCUAGCUCGAGGUGAAGGAACUCACAUGCACCUCAGCUGGCAACAGCUCACCGUACUCCUGUCCUAGUCGUCUGGCGGCGAACGAAUCGCACCUCACCCAACAACGGCCUAGGUCCAUGACUUAGCCACCCGGCGGCGAAAUCGUCGCACAAACGCCAUGACAGUGGUUCAGUCAACAGGCGGUAGGAUUCACAAACUGGCUAACCAUCCGGCGGCGAAAUCGUCGCACACACCAUGACAGAGGUUCUUUAGCCCUUGGGCGGCGAAAUCGUCGCACACACCCAACACCACUUUGGGUGUAUCCUUUUAGCCUUGGGAUUCCGGAAUCCAUUUCACAUCACAUAGGGGUUGGUCUUAACCCUAUGGAACUGACCUCUCUAGGUCUAAGCUUUUACUCAACCUAAGUUCACCCAUUAGGUUUAUUGCUUUCACCUUCUUAACCUAGGUUUAUUAUAUUAGGAUCAUUAUUCUUUCCAACCUAGGUUCACUUGACUCUAGGUUAAGUACUUUUCAUUUCACGACCUAUAUUUAUUAACACUAGGUUGGAUGCCACUCGAUCUAUUUGAUUUUAGAUCUACUCCUGACCUAUGUUCCUUAACACUAAGUUAGAUGCCACUCGAUCUAAUUCACAUACUAAUUGUCCAAUUAAGCAUUCUACUUAUUCUAGAGUUAUCAAUUCUCAUUUUCCAAUGUUAUCUCUCUAAUCAAGCUAGAGUUAUCAACCAAGUUCAUAUGCAUAUAUAAUCUCACAAUGCUAAGCAUGCAUCUAUGAUCUCACAAUGCUAAUCACGCGUUUAUAAUCUCAUAUAUCAUUUAUAUGCAUCUACUUAGCAUUUACAUCAUUCUAUAAACAUGCAUCAUAUAACUUGCUCAUUAUGCAUUCUAGCAUUUCUACAUUACAUUAUUUAGCAUUAUAUAACUUGCUCAUAAUGCAUUCUAUUUAGCAUUUACAUCAUACUAUCAACAUGCAUUAUUUAGCUACAUGCAUCAUUUACAUGCUUCAUUUACAUUUAUAU